rnacentral:rRNA from 1 species
UACAGAGGUCUCAAGCGUUGUUCGGAUUCAUUGGGCGUAAAGGGUGCGUAGGUGGCGCCGUAAGUCGGGUGUGAAAUUUCGGAGCUUAACUCCGAAACUGCAUUCGAUACUGCGGUGCUUGAGGACUGGAGAGGAGACUGGAAUUCAUGGUGUAGCAGUGAAAUGCGUAGAGAUCAUGAGGAAGACCAGUGGCGAAGGCGGGUCUCUGGACAGUUCCUGACACUGAGGCACGAAGGCCCAGGGGAGCAAACGGG